rnacentral:sRNA from 1 species
AUUAAGAGGCUUUGCUCAAUUACAAGAAGAAGAAAAAAUGCUUGUCGACGGGAAACUCGU